AUUGAACGCUGGCGGCCGGCCUAACACAUGCAAGUCGAACGAGUGGCGGCCGGGUGAGUAAUGUCUGGGAAACGGCCUGAUUGCGGGGGAUAGCUACUGGGAACGGUAGCUAAUCCCGCAUACCAUCAGCUGUGCCCCGAUGUGUUUAGCUAGUUGGUCGGGUAACGGCUCACCAAGGCGACGAUCCCUAGCUGGUCUGAGAGGAUGACCGGCCCCACUGGAGCUUGGACAUGGGCCACACGCCGACGGUCUUCAUCAGUGGUAGAUAGUGCACCAUGGGCGCAAGCCUUGUGCAGCAAUGCGGCGUGUAUGAAGAACUCCUUCGGUUUGUAGAGUACUUUCAGCGGGGAGGCGUUACACGCAGAAGAAGCACAGGCUAACGCGGUGCCAGCAGCCGCGGUAAUAC
rnacentral:rRNA from 1 species